ensembl:lncRNA
AAAAAACAGCCAUUUAUUGUGCUACUACUAAAAUUUCACAAAAUAGAUGCUGUUGCAAUAAAUCAGCCUACCUCUGCGUCGUGGACAAGUCCGGGGAAGGUCGUUGACAUUGUGCUUUCUCCAAAGUAGCCCCCUUUUUUUUUCCUCCGCUGUGUGGCCCGACCGAACAAUAAUAAUAAUAAUAAUAAAAAUGCCUUAAAAUCCUCAAAAAGCGAGAGAAGUGGAAAAGUCCCCCCUUUGCGCGCUCUCGGUAGCGGUGGAAAGCUGGCGGAACGCGAGCGUCUCCCCUCUGCACGGACGGGGCUGGCUCACGGAUUUUGUACUUGCAGGGUAUUUCUCGGCUGAUGUCGUAGGUCCCUUGGUAAUAUAGAAGUUUUGAAAAUUAAGCAUCAGCACUGAGGAAUGGGAGGACAAUAGACGGAGCGGAGCAUCCCAGGAGACAAGGAAUAAAUAUUGUAUCUUCGCCAUAACAAGGAACCAAGUGCUUCUUUCAACAUUUUCUACCCUUUUUGUGGACAUUUUCCCUUUUGAGCCGUUUGUAUUUUCACGAGUUCUUCUGCUCGGUUUCGUCGUGUUAUUUUAUUCUAUUUUAUUUAUUCACAACGGCUGUGUCGUUCUUACAAAAAAAAUAUGGAUUUUCAACGGAAAUUAAUUACUCCUGAAGUCAAUUGAGAAGUUCAACUCAGAGCAGACACGUGUCAGCUGCUGCGAAAACACUAAAGAAAAGGCCAAUCUGCUGCCAACGGACAGCCUCUCCCAACAUAUUGGGUCUUGGCACCGCGCCACAUGACUUGUGUGCAGCCACUGACAUGACUGACCGCUGUUCAAAUCCACUGGGACCGAAACCACCCUUCAGUUUCAUCGUCCACGUGUCUUUGCUUCUUUAGCAAAACACCAAGCUCCCCCUCUGUUAUGUUAAAAACCUUAUUUUACUUUUGUUGUUUGCAGUCAUAAAAAAGAAGGGGUUUCCCCAAUUUUGCUGUACUUAUCCCGACCAGCAGAGUGCGCCACUUUGGCAGUGCAGCCUGAGGGGAGAUUAACCUGCAGGUCUCUGAGUAAAAGGGAGGACACACACACACACACACAAAUUCAAAAACUCUCUCGCUGUGAAAGAAGUAUACACAUGCAAGGGUGCCGACGCAGGUUCAAUGACUUUGAUCGUGUAAUUCCUGCGUAAUCUCUGUAAUCUUUUAAAGCAGAGCUGUUUAAAUGUAUGUUGCAUGUGCGCAAUUGUGAGUGUGUGUGUGUGUGUGUGUGAGUGAAGAUGUGUGAAAUGUUCACUGGAUUAACAAGAUGAAGCAGAGGCCGGGAAUACAGCUAAAGAGAAAUCUUUAAGAAUCAAACGUUCUUUCAGAUUUCUGCUCAGACCAGCAGGCUGGAGUUGGAGGCUGCGCGUGUUGUGUUUAUGACACAAAGAAAUUCUCAUAUUCAGCUUGUUUAAAGAGUUCAUUCGGUGUCUUAUCCGUGGAGUGGGUGUGAGUUUUAUUUGGCAGCUGAACAGAUAUUUUCUACACUCUGCAGUCUUCACAUCAGGCAGCACACUUUGACCGACCUGUCAUUGUAAUUAUAAGGUUCUAUUGGAUGUAAGUCAGUGAUGAUACUUCUCUUUGUUGCAUGACAACAAUUGAAAAUCACAUGGAUGCGAGCAAAAUAAAUCAC